rnacentral:rRNA from 1 species
GAUGAACGCUGGCGGCGUGCCUAAUACAUGCAAGUCGAGCGAACAGACGAGGAGCUUGCUCCUCUGACGUUACCGGCGGACGGGUGAGUAACAGGUGAUUAACCUACCUAUAAGACUGGGAUAACUGCGGGAAACCGGAGUUAAGACCGGAUAAUAUAUUGAACCGCAUGGUUCAAUAGUGAAAGAGGUUUUUGCUGUCACUUAUAGAUGGAUCCGCGCCGCAUUAGCUAGUUGGUAAGGUAACGGCUUACCAAGGCAACGAUGCGUAGCCGACCUGAGAGGGUGAUCGGCCACACUGGAACUGAGACACGGUCAAGACUCCUACGGGAGGCAGCAGUAGGGAAUCUUCCGCAAUGGGCGAAAGCUUGACGGAGCAACGCCGCGUGAGUGAUGACGGUCUUCGGAUCGUAAAACUCUGUUAUUAGGGAAGAACAAAUGUGUAAGUAACUAUGCACGUCUUGACGGUACCUAAUCAGAAAGCCACGGCUAACUACGUG